AAUGCAAAACUGCAUUGUCCAAUUCGACUUAUGCUUUACUGGUCAUUCAAGUAGAGCAAAGAAAAUAUCCUUUUAAAACUCAGAUAAACUUGGUGAUUGUCUUGGAUCCUGUCAGAGAAAACAAAU